rnacentral:rRNA from 1 species
GAUGAACGCUGUCUACAGGCUUAACACAUGCAAGUCGAGGGGAAACGCCGGGGAAGCUUGCUUCCCCGGGCGUCGACCGGCGCACGGGUGAGUAACGCGUAUCCAACCUGCCUCUGACUGAGGGAUAACCCGUCGAAAGUCGGCCUAAUACCUCAUGGCAUCGUCUGCGGGCAUCCAACGACGAUUAAAGAUUUCAUCGGUCAGGGAUGGGGAUGCGUCUGAUUAGCUUGUUGGCGGGGUAACGGCCCACCAAGGCUACGAUCAGUAGGGGUUCUGAGAGGAAGGUCCCCCACAUGGGAACUGGGACACGGUCCAAACUGCUACGGGAGGCAGCAGUGAGGAAUAUUGGUCAAGGGGCGGGAGCCUGAACCAGCCAAGUAGCGUGCAGGAGGACGGCCCUAGGGGUGGUAAACUGCUUUUAUGCGGGGAUAAAGUGAGGGACGUGUCCUUCAUUGCAGGUACCGCAUGAAUAAGGACCGGCUAAUUCCGUG